rnacentral:rRNA from 1 species
UACAGAGGGGGCAAGCGUUGUUCGGAAUUACUGGGCGUAAAGGGCGCGUAGGCGGCCGCCUAAGUCAGACGUGAAAUCCCUCGGCUCAACCGGGGAACUGCGUCUGAUACUGGUUGGCUUGAGUGCAGGAGAGGAAUGCGGAAUUCCAGGUGUAGCGGUGAAAUGCGUAGAUAUGUGGAGGAACACCGAUGGCGAAGGCAGCCUCCUGGGCCAGCACUGACGCUCAUGCACGAAAGCGUGGGGAGCAAACAGG